AAAUAAGCAGCUUGUUGAUGUGCUACGAGAUUUAAAUUGUAGACUGCGCCUGGAUAAGGACUGGUUCAGAUGGGGAGUGGACUUCAUUGGUGGAUUGUUUACACCCUGGUCAAAAGCUCAGGAACCUGUGAAAUCAACAGAAAAGGAAAAGUCACCAUCAGGUGAUGAAUCCUUAGACAAGCCUCACUAGUGAAAUAAAGGAAAGAGUAGAAGUUGAUGAACACUAAAAUGAGGUGGAUUAGCAGGAAGACAUGACUCUUUGUUAUAAGCACUAGCUAAUGAUGUUGUGAUUACUCAACUCAAUUUUGAAGAAAUAAAAAAAAAAGUGGUACAUGAUUGUACAAUACAGUGUAAGCUCUCAAAUAUAUCAAAUGAACAUGAAAUAUAAACUGAAAGUAAGUCUACAUGUUUAAAGAUUCAAAUCAGUACUAUCAAUGUCAAGUUUUAUACUUCUUUAUGCCAUAAUUUCAUUUUUACAUUUUAUAUUUCUGUACGUUUUUUACAUCUUAUGUCUCUUACAUUUUAAUAUAUAUUAUUUUAAUUUGUAUUAAGUCACGGUUGUGUCUGGACAAAUAUAUUGUUUAAGUUCUGUGGUGAAACAUCUAAGGAAGAGUUUGAUUGUGUUUGGUUCAUUGUACUCUGAACACAAGAUAAUAAUGCUUUGACUGACAUAAG